ACAAAAACGACAACAAAAGAGUCCAAAGACGUGACACAAGGACAUGUGCAUUAUGAAUGUCAUUUUUGUAAAGAUGUUUAGAUUGUAAAAUGUUAAUACAAUUCAAAUGUGAAAAUUAUGCUGUAUAUUGUAGCGUGUAAUCAAUCUAAAAUCUACUUAUUCCCAUAAACCAUUCAACAAAUAAUUAAGAAAUACAAAAAACAUCCAUGAAUCCAGCACAACUAGACAACUACGUCUGUAGAAUCAUGACGUGAGGAGCGCAGCAGCUACAUACGGGCAUUCUUUUUUAGAAUUCUUUGUUGGGAAGUUUGACGAUUGUUGUGGUUGGUGCUAUUGACGAGUUUCCAUGGUGAUUAUUUCUUCGGUUAUUGCAUUUCGCCUUUUUUUGACUACCUUUCGGAUUUUUGAUAUUGAUUCUCGGUUUUGACCCUUUUCCGUUUUUGACGCUCGAUUUUUGACUCGGUUUGGACUCCCGGUUUUGACCCUUUUUUCCGUUUUUGACUGCCGGCUUCGGAUUCGUUGUGAACCCGCACACUGAAGAACAUCCUUUCCUGAAAUGGGAUCGGUUGGUGUUUUACCAGUGUGUGUGGAAACACCAAGGGCCGUGUUCGGUGUGCCCCUCAUCAGCCUGAGGAAGAGAGGACAGAUGAGGCAGGGUCUUCCUCUGGUGUUCACACACGUAGUGGAGAUUGUGGAGAAGCACGCGUUCCUUCUGGCCCCACCAUGUUUGAAGAACAGGGACAGUGUACUGCUUUGAUAGAGCACCUGCUGGACAACCUGAUCCACCUGCUGCCAAACAUGUACCCUCAUGCAUCCACCAGUAACUCAGCAGACGAUAGCAAAUGGACUAAUGAAGAGUGUGUCCCACAAUUGCCGCUCUCAGAGACCAAAUUAAAGGUGCCUAAAAUUGGAAGACUUGGGCGACUAAGA